AAAAAGUAACACCAAUUUUUACUCCUUUCCUCUGACAGAGUGCUUCAGAAGGCAUUUACACUGGCUUGACUCCUCAUGUCCAGGACACAUAUGCGAUAAUUGACACCAAGAAGUGACAAGGAAGGAAAACACAAAACAUUGCUUCAAUUUUUUGUUCGGCUAUGCUUAUUUCAGCUGCCGUUCGGUGUAAUGCAAAUUUGUGAUUAAGAAAAACAAUGUUGUGUUAAUCACUUUUUGAGUAUUUGUUAUUGAUUAUUGUAUUGAGCAGUUACUUAUAACAAGGAAAGACAUGAUUAAAUAGCACCCCCUUUUCCCCCUUGGUGAUUGCAUUAAUCAGUUACUAAUAAAAAGGAAAAAUGUGAUUAAAUGGCA